rnacentral:rRNA from 1 species
UACGGGGGGGGCAAGCGUUGUUCGGAAUUACUGGGCGUAAAGGGUGCGUAGGUGGCGCCGUAAGUCGGGUGUGAAAUUUCGGAGCUUAACUCCGAAACUGCAUUCGAUACUGCGGUGCUUGAGGACUGGAGAGGAGACUGGAAUUCAUGGUGUAGCAGUGAAAUGCGUAGAGAUCAUGAGGAAGACCAGUGGCGAAGGCGGGUCUCUGGACAGUUCCUGACACUGAGGCACGAAGGCCAGGGGAGCAAACGGG